rnacentral:lncRNA from 1 species
GCUAUAAGUCAACUAUAUUUGGUGUAUGGAAAUAUUAUAUGAUCUGUAUGUCAGUCGCGCAGAUUUUAUUUUACCUCGACCUCAUUUUCACGGUUCAUUGCUCAGUGUUAAGUUUUUGUGUUUUGGUCUAUUUUUCUUAAACUAUAAGUAAGAGGUCAACUAUAUUUGUUGUAUGAAAGCAUUGUUAGCUGUACAUGUCUGUCUGGCAUGUUUCAUCUGACCUUGACCUCAUUUUCAUGGUUCAUUGGUCUUUGUUAUCUUGGUUAAUGUUAAGUUAUGUGACAGUUGUUAUAAAGCUUUAUACUUAAGACUAUCAACAUAAUAUCAAUGAUUAGUAAAGAAGGCGAGACAUUUCAGCGUGUGCACUCUUGUUUAUAUU